rnacentral:lncRNA from 1 species
UCAUGGCCACACCCCUCCUUUUCAAAUUUUUAAAAUUUUUUUUGUUUGUUUGUUUUACUUGAAAUUAACGUGAACACUCCGUAGAGAAGGCUAGAAUGGAAAACCGUUCACUAACAGAAGACUUGGAGAGAACCCCUCUGAUUGUGGAUUCCGGCCGGCGCUAGUCCGAAGUCCCGCCCCCGGGAGAGGGCGCGGUCCCCGCCGCCGCCUCGGGCAGAGCUGGUCACCACCAUCGCGCCGCCACCGCUGUCCUGGUCUCUCCCCGACGUCUGGCAUCCUCCCCGGCCGGGGCCCGGACGGUGCGCGGGCAUGGCCGGCCGAGCUGCAGAUAAACAGCAGUACCCCCGUCUCCCCGGGCCAUUGCCACCUCUUCCGCCCCCCUGCCCUCGUCCCGCUCGCCAGUGCCUCCACCCCGCAAUCCCAGGACCGGCGCCGCUUUCCUCCCACCCCCCGCACCCUCCGCCCGCGCCGGGCUAGUCGGGCGCUAAGCCCGCCGGCGCCGCGGUGAGGCGGCGAGUCCGCGCGCAGGUCCGGGCGCGGGGCUGCCUGGAACCGCGGGGAGGCGGCACCGGAAUUCUGUACGCUGUGCCCGAGAUACUCUCUGCCCUUAUCAUUUCCCCAUUAAAGGUCUGCUGUGGGGACCUCACCGGCGGGCAUCUCCAGGCCCCGGCCCAGGACGGGCUUAGCAGGUGCGCACCCGGAACCCCUGCGGGCGCUCCGGGAGAAGCAAGUGGCCGCCGCCGCCCGGGUUGUCUCUGGCUUUUUAGCUCUCCGGACAACAGCAGCGGCCUCUGGGCCACGCUCUCCCUCCGGCUCCGCGCUCCUGUCUGGUCUCCGCCUCUGCCGUCUGCUUCCCCGGCUUUCUGUCCCCACCGCGGUUGCAGCCUCGGAGCGCGGGUGGAAACUGCAGGGAAAUGGAGCUUCGAAGCGUCCUUUCGAAAACCUAUCACUCUCCCUGAGGUGGGCUUCCUGCCCGCCCUGCCCCGGUUCGUCCUCCGGCUGUUUUCUUUUACCGCCCGUUGCUCUGCUCGCCUUUUAAAGUCUCAGAGUCCUCAAAAAAGUCUCCAUCAGAAGCCACCUGAAAUCUCUCCACUCCCAGCACCCAACGCUAAGACUACCAACAGAACAAACGACACAUGAUUAAUGUUUCCUUCCUCACAUCCCUUCCCUUCCCAACCUAUUUCUCAGAAUCAUUUUGCAAUACGCAAAUCAAAAUGUUGUACACCUUAAAGUUACACAAUGUUAUGUGGCACUUAUAUCUCAAUAAAAGUGAAAGUUAUUCUCUUUAACA